GUCCGCAAGCCAGCGGGGCGAGGCACCUGGGGCCUGCGCGUCAGGUCCCGGCCUGGGGCACCGGGGCUGCCAGCGUCGGAGGAGGCCUGAGACCUGGGAGGAAGCUGGAGAAAAGAUGCCCUCUGAAUCUUUGUGUUUGGCUGCCCAGGCUCGCCUUGACACCGAAUGGUUGAAAACAGAUAUACAGAUGAUAGUGUCGAACCAAGUGAAACAAAGAAAGAAGAUCUGAAUGACAAAGAGAAAAAAGAUGAAGACGAAACUCCUGCACCUGUAUAUAGGGCCAAGUCAAUUCUGGAGACCUGGGCGUGGGGCAAGCAACCAGAAUUUCUGGAUCAAUUUGGAAACUAAGACUAGAAAAGAUCUGUGUUUCGUCAUCUGGAACCCAGGGAGAGGGUGAGGCACGUGGAGUUCCUUGACCCCUCAUCUUGCUGAAGCAGCAAGCAUGGGUGAGUGCAGAGAAGCCUCACGCACUCUUGGGCUACCAAGAGCUGUGCCAACACUGUUGUGUAAGUUGGCCAGAGAGGAACCCUGUAUACUGGACACUAAGUUUUUUACUUCUUCAGAAUAAGAAAAUUAACGCAAAACCUUCCAGCACCAAAUUCAAAAUUUUACACAUUCUAUCACUUACAUAUAGCUCACAUAAGCAUUUUAUUUUUUUAGCUAUUUAGAGCCUGUCUGCUUUGCACAUCCCAUGAGAGUGCAGUCAACAUCUGCUAGCCAUAGAUAAGACAAACUCUGUGGUUAUAAAAGACCCAAACUUCUGCUGUUCUAAGAGCUCCAUGACCCGGAGACGCCCCACCUCACUGCUGAGCAACAUCUUCCCUGCCCAAGUGCCACUCAAUAAAGCUUGUUGUACAAUA
rnacentral:lncRNA from 1 species